rnacentral:rRNA from 1 species
CCUANGGGGGGCAUCAGUGGGGAAUAUUGGACAAUGGGCGCAAGCCUGAUCCAGCCAUGCCGCGUGAGUGAUGAAGGCCCUAGGGUUGUAAAGCUCUUUUGUGCGGGAAGAUAAUGACGGUACCGCAAGAAUAAGCCCCGGCUAACUUCGUGCCAGCAGCCGCGGUAAUACGAAGGGGGCUAGCGUUGCUCGGAAUCACUGGGCGUAAAGGGUGCGUAGGCGGGAUCUUAAGUCAGAGGUGAAAGCCUGGAGCUCAACUCCAGAACUGCCUUUGAUACUGGGAUUCUUGAGUUCGGGAGAGGUGAGCGGAACUGCGAGUGUAGAGGUGAAAUUCGUAGAUAUUCGCAAGAACACCAGUGGCGAAGGCGGCUCACUGGCCCGAUACUGACGCUGAGGCACGAAAGCGUGGGUAGCAAACAGGAUUAGAUACCCCUNUANUC